rnacentral:rRNA from 1 species
UAGUCCACGCCGUAAACGAUGGAUACUAGCUGUUCGUUGCACAUUAGUGUGAUGAGUGGUUAAGCGAAAGUGAUAAGUAUCCCACCUGGGGAGUACGUUCGCAAGAAUGAAACUCAAAGGAAUUGACGGGGGCCCGCACAAGCGGUGGAGCAUGUGGUUUAAUUCGAUGAUACGCGAGGAACCUUACCAGGGCUUAAAUGCAUAAUGACAGGGGUGGAAACACCCUUUUCUUCGGACAUUUUGCAAGGUGCUGCAUGGUUGUCGUCAGCUCGUGCCGUGAGGUGUCAGGUUAAGUCCUAUAACGAGCGCAACCCCUGUUGUUAGUUGCCAUCGAGUAAUGUCGGGAACUCUAACAAGACUGCCGGUGCAAACCGUGAGGAAGGUGGGGAUGACGUCAAAUCAUCACGGCCCUUACGUCCUGGGCCACACACGUGCUACAAUGGCCGGUACAGAGAGCAGCCACUACGCGAGUAGGAGCGAAUCUAUAAAACCGGUCUCAGUUCGGAUCGG